rfam:Oryza glumipatula chromosome 5, whole genome shotgun sequence.
AAUAAUUGUAGUUUGUAUUGUUCAUAUCUAACGUUUGACCGUUCGUGUUAUUUGAAAAUUUUCUGUGGUUAGUAUUUUUAUUGUUAUUAGAUGAUAAUACAUGAAUAGUAUUUUAUGUGCGACUAAUUUUUUCAAUUUUUUUUUAAAAUAAGACGAACUGUUAAACGUUGGACACGGAUAUCCACAGCUACACUUAUU